CCAGGGUUGAUGAAGGAUCCCAAGAUGGCUGGGCGAAAACUUACUCUAAAAGCCAUUGACUGGGUUGCUUUUGGGGAGAUCAUACCCCAAAACCAAAAGGAGCCUAGGAGCAAUUCCUUGAAAUCCUGGAAUGAGGUGCUCACCUCCAGGUUGGCUGCUUUGUCUGAGAAUCCACCAGCUAUCAACUGGUCUUACUACAAGGCCAACAUGGCCAAGGCAGGCUUGGUUGAUGACUUUGAGAAGAAGUUUAAUGCCCUAAAGUUUCCUGUGCCAGAGGAUAAAUAUACUGCCCAAGUGGACGCUGAAGAAAAAGAAGAUGUAAAAAACUGUUCUGAGUUUGUGUCUCUCUCAAAGGCCGUGAUUGGAGAAUGUGAGAAACAGAUGGAGAAAAUGAAGAACGUAAUUCCAUUUGAUCAGAUGACCAUUGAGGACUUGAAUGAAGUCUUCCCAGAAACCAAAUUAGAUAGGAAGAAGUAUCCCAAUUGGCCUCACCAGUCAAUUGAGAAUUUAUAAAAUUGAGUCCAGGAGGAAGCCCUGGCUCUUAUAUUAUACACUGUGGACAUUAAAAAUAAAAAU